rnacentral:rRNA from 1 species
GAUGAACGCUGGCGGCGUGCUUAACACAUGCAAGUCGAACGGAAAGGCCAGUGCUUGCACUGGUACUCGAGUGGCGAACGGGUGAGUAACACGUGGGUGAUCUGCCCUGCACUUCGGGAUAAGCCUGGGAAACUGGGUCUAAUACCGGAUAGGACAAUGGUUUGGAUGCCGUUGUGGAAAGUUUUUUCGGUGUGGGAUGAGCUCGCGGCCUAUCAGCUUGUUGGUGGGGUAAUGGCCUACCAAGGCGUCGACGGGGAGCCGGCCUGAGAGGGUGUACGGCCACAGUGGGACUGAGAUACGGCCCAGACUCCUACGGGGGGCAGCAGUGGGGAAUAUUGCACAAUGGGCGCAAGCCUGAUGCAGCGACGCCGCGUGGGGGAUGACGGCCUUCGGGUUGUAAACUCCUUUCGCUAGGGACGAAGCGUAUUUGUGACGGUACCUGGAGAAGAAGCACCGGCUAACUACGUG